rnacentral:snoRNA from 1 species
AAGUCUAUACUUUCAGGGAUCAUUUCUAUAGUUUGUUACUAGAGAUGAGGAUACAGAGGCACAGAGAGAUAAGGAGCUUGCCUGA